rnacentral:lncRNA from 1 species
CUUGGAGCCCCUUCUCCGGCCGCUGGCUUCUCGGACCGCGCCUCUCCAGCGCCGCCGCGCCCGCAGCGGGGCGCCCCGGACAGGGCCUGAGCUCCCGGCGCAGUGGAGAGGCGACUUGCGUCCUGGAAGGGCUCAGCAAAGGCGAACGGAGAGGUGCACCCUAGGCUGCGGGAGCGCGAGAGGAGGGGGGCACCUCGUUUGGAGGCCAAUAGCGCGGGCCCCAGAGGAGGCCCCACGGCCGGGAGCUUGGCGGCCGGCAACCCAGAGAACGCCACGGGCACCCGAGCCUUGUCCCGGCCCGGGGGGCUCCAGGCCUGCCCGCAAGAGGAGCUUUAAUUUGUCCAAACUAACACAGGGCGCGCCCUCACGUGGUCGGCUGGGGCAACGUGAACUGCGCUAGGACAUCCUCGGGGGUUUUCCGCCCCAUCCAAAGGGGAUGGCGGAUGGGAGGCACUCUCCAGCUGCACCCCGGGUUCUGGUUGUGCCUCUGGGAGCCUAGGCACAACCCGGGGAAUGGAGGACUACGGCAGGACCUCUCUAGGGACACUGCCUCGCCGCUCCCCCCACCCUGUUGCCGCUGAUGUUCCCAGGGCCUCAUUUUGUAAUCCACAAGUAGCUGCCGCCGGUCCCCCCAAAGCCAAAUGGGGGCUCCAGGGUGGGACAGGGUGGGCGGGGGUGAGGCUGUGACACCCAGAGGAAUUCCUGUGAGAGGAUGGGGAAGGGAUUCGCUCUUAGUUCCUGGGUGCACCCCUCCCCCUCUCCCGUGCACAGGGAAAUGAUGGCGGGAACACAGCAAAGGAGACCAUGUCCUGGAGAGGGUCCCGGGCCCCACCCUCCCCGGGGGGGCUUGUGCAAGGCUGGCGGCCCGAUCUCUGCUGAUUCCAGUAUUGGGGGUGCAGAGAAGGCACAGGACAGUUUUUGUUGAAGCCGUUGCAGCCUCCACUUGGGGAAGCUGAGGCCAGGAGCACCAGGUACCCUGAGAAAAGUGAGAAGAGAGAUUGCAGCCCAGGUCCCUGCAGAGGAGGAUGGGCUCCUUUCCCAGGAAGGACUGGCUGAGUGGACUGUCUCCAGGGCACAGGACAACGUUGAGGGCCUGAGGCCUCCACCUUCUUGAAGAAGGACCAUGUGAAUUUCCUGACAGAGAACGGGGAUGGGUUUCUGAAAGCACCACCCAGCUGAGCCUGCCGAAACUGCACAGCUGUUUCCAGGCCAGGCUGGCUGCAUGGAGGACGUGAGAGGAACAGCCAGCUGUGUGUGCUGGGCCCACUGAUCAGGGUGCUCAGGACCAGGAGCCUUCUGAGGAUGUGCAGAGGGGACUCUGGGGAGAGGAACAUGGUGGCCACAGCUGGAGUGACCGCAGUGUACAGAGAUGGGAUGGGAGCAGGAAACCCAAAAGAGCCGGCCCUGGAACCAGGUGGAGGGGAGGCAGCCCGGCCAUGACCCAGAGCAGGUGAUAUGAUUUGGAUCUGUGUUCCCACCCAAAUUUUAGGUUCAGUUUUAAUCCUCAGUGUUGGAGGUGGGUCCUGGUGGGAGGUGAUCAGAUCAUGGGAGUGGAUUCUAAUGGUUUAGCACCAUUCCCUC